rnacentral:rRNA from 1 species
GAUGAACGCUGGCGGCGUGCCUAAUACAUGCAAGACGAGCGAACCACUUCGGUGGUGAGCGGCGAACGGGUGAGUAACACGUAGGUUAUCUGCCCAUCAGACGGGGACAACGAUUGGAAACGAUCGCUAAUACCGGAUAGGACGAAAGUUUAAAGGUGCUUCGGCACCACUGAUGGAUGAGCCUGCGGCGCAUUAGCUAGUUGGUAGGGUAAAGGCCUACCAAGGCGACGAUGCGUAGCCGACCUGAGAGGGUGAACGGCCACACUGGGACUGAGACACGGCCCAGACUCCUACGGGAGGCAGCGGUAGGGAAUCUUCGGCAAUGGGCGAAAGCCUGACCGAGCAACGCCGCGUGAAUGAUGAAGGCCUUCGGGUUGUAAAAUUCUGUUAUAAGGGAAGAAUGGCUCUAGUAGGAAAUGGCUAGAGUGUGACGGUACCUUAUGAGAAAGCCACGGCUAACUACGUGCCAGCCGCCGCCGUAAGAC